CUUCUCCUACGGGGGGCAGCAGUGGGGAAUAUUGCACAAUGGGGGAAACCCUGAUGCAGCAACGCCGCGUGAGUGAAGAAGGUUUCCGGAUUGUAAAGCUCUGUUAGCAGGGAAGAGGAAGGACGGUACCUGCAGAGGAAGCCACGGCUAACUACGUGCCAGCAGCCGCGGUAAUACGUAGGUGGCAAGCGUUGUUCGGAAUAACUGGGCGUAAAGGAUGCGUAGGCGGGUAAACAAGUUAUAUGUUAAAUAUAUAGGCUUAACAUGUAGAAAGCAUAUAAAACUGUUUAACUGGAGUGGAGGAG
rnacentral:rRNA from 1 species